rnacentral:tRNA from 1 species
GGGGCUGUAGCUCAGUGGUAGAGUGCUUGCCUUGCAUGCAUGAGGCACUGAGUUUGAUCCUCAGCACCA